rnacentral:rRNA from 1 species
GACAGAGGGGGCAAGCGUUGCUCGGAAUCACUGGGCGUAAAGGGCGCGUAGGCGGGAUGGCAAGUCGGUCGUGAAAUCCUUCGGCUCAACCGAAGAACGUCGGCCGAUACUGCCGUUCUUGAGGGAUGCAGAGGAGACUGGAAUUCCCGGUGUAGCGGUGAAAUGUGUAGAGAUCGGGAGGAACACCGGUGGCGAAGGCGGGUCUCUGGGCAUUUCCUGACGCUGAGGCGCGAAAGCGUGGGGAGCAAACGGG